rnacentral:rRNA from 1 species
GACAGAGGAUGCAAACGUUGCUCGGAUUUACUGGGCGUAAAGCGCGCGCAGGCGGUCCUGUAAGUCGAGUGUGAAAUCCCGGGGCUCAACCUCGGACGUGCACUCGAUACUGCGGGACUGGAGUACUGGAGAGGAGAGCGGAAUUCCCGGUGUAGAGGUGAAAUUCGUAGAUAUCGGGAGGAACACCAGUGGCGAAGGCGGCUCUCUGGACAGAUACUGACGCUGAGGCGCGAAAGCGUGGGAAGCAAACAGG